GACGAACGCUGGCGGCGUGCUUAACACAUGCAAGUCGAGCGGUAAGGCCCUUUCGGGGUACGACGAGCGGCGAACGGGUGAGUAACACGUGGGUGACCUGCCCUUAGCUCUGGGAUAAGCCUGGGAAACUGGGUCUAAUACCGGAUAUGACUCCAUGACGCAUGUUGUGGGGUGGAAAGCCUUGUGCGGCUAGGGAUGGGCCCGC
rnacentral:rRNA from 1 species